CAGAUAUGGCGGAAUUGGUAGACGCGUUAGACUCAAAAUCUAAUGCCUUCUAGGCAUGUGGGUUCGAUUCCCACUAUCUG
rnacentral:tRNA from 1 species